rnacentral:pre_miRNA from 1 species
GACUCUUCGUCUUAUUUAAAUUUUUUAUGAUUAAUAUUUUUAUUCUUAUUAGAUGAUAAAACAUAAAUAGUAUUUUAUGCGUGACUAAUUUUUUAAAGUUUUUAAUAAAUUUUUCAAAUAAGACGAAUAGUC